rnacentral:rRNA from 1 species
UACGUAGGUGGCAAGCGUUGUCCGGAUUUAUUGGGUUUAAAGGGUGCGUAGGCGGUCAAAUAAGUCAGUGCAGAAAUACUCUAGCUUAACUAGAGGGGUGGCAUUGAUACUGCUUGGCUUGAGUGAAGUCGAGGUUGGCGGAAUUGACGGUGUAGCGGUGAAAUGCUUAGAUAUCGUCAAGAACACCGAUAGUGAAGACAGCUAACUAGACUUCAACUGACGCUGAGGCACGAAAGCGUGGGGAUCAAACAGG